UACGGGGGGAGCAAGCGUUGUUCGGAUUUACUGGGCGUAAAGGGCGCGUAGGCGGCCUUUCAAGUGACGGGUGAAAUCCCUCGGCUUAACCGAGGAACUGCCUGUCAGACUGGAAGGCUUGAGACCGGGAGAGGUGAGUGGAAUUCCCAGUGUAGCGGUGAAAUGCGUAGAUAUUGGGAGGAACACCAGUGGCGAAGGCGGCUCACUGGACCGGUACUGACGCUGAGGCGCGAAAGCGUGGGGAGCAAACAGG
rnacentral:rRNA from 1 species